GUGCCAGCAGCCGCGGUAAUACGUAGGCAGCAAGCGUUGUUCGGAAUUACUGGGCGUAAAGAGUGUGUAGGCGGUGCUCUAAGUCUGUUGUGAAAUCUCCCGGCUUAACCGGGAGGGUGCGGCGGAAACUGGAGUGCUUGAGGGUGGGAGAGGUAAGCGGAAUUCCUGGUGUAGCGGUGAAAUGCGUAGAUAUCAGGAGGAACACCUGUGGUGUAGACAGCUUACUGGACCACUUCUGACGCUGAGACACGAAAGCGUGGGUAGCAAACAGGAUUAGAUACCCCCGUAGUCC
rnacentral:rRNA from 1 species